UCUUCCCCAACACCAAGUAACUUAUGCAACAUGAUUUACCUUGCUUUUGGUUGCAGAUCUAAAGCUUGAUGGUCCAAUUGCAGACGAAGGACCAUUAUAUUGCUCAACUGACCGAUUGGAUCCUGUUCCUCCUGAACAAGAACCAAAAACAGUGGAGACCAUCUCCUGUUUCUGAUCCUAAGCCGGCAGCAAAGGAGCCAACCAUGUGAAAUGUCUUUCCAGAUUGAUUGAGGAGGAGUGGAGAAGAUUGCAACAUCUACGUAGCAUUUGAAGACUACGAUACUUGGAGUACGAUUCCAGUCUGCCUACAACGUCGGACAGGUGGCUACCUUCUCCAGCAUUAAAAGUCGGAGUUGUACCCGAAUCCGUUAGCUGCGGGUGGUAGGUGGAGCGUCCCAUAAGUUGGGUGGCCUACCGGGCGCACCCGCCUCCAGCCACGAAACAGACCCAUUUCAACGGCCGUGAUGGAGCGCAACUAUCUCGGAACGCACAGCAGCCUUGGGUGGGACCCGCGACCCGGAGGUUUUACAUGUGCGGUGGCGUCACAGCCAACCCCACGUGACCACCGGCGCGUCCGAAUCGCCAUCGGUAAGCGUUUGUUUAUUUGGGCCCGCUCUUCCGCGCACUAACUUUUAUCUACCCAUACAUCUACCUGCCUGUUCUCUUGCGGGUCCCACUUCCACCAUGGUUUGCUGAGCUUAAAUAAUAGUCGGCGGCAGCAGAAUUGGAGAACGUUCAUAUGGCCGCCUACUC